CUAGAUAUUGAAACUCAUUCUCACAAUUCUCAGUAAUUAUAUCUGAUUUAUAGCUUGGCACACCUAUGCUUUGAUGGAUGAUUACACUAGUUUGAUAUUCCUUUUGCUUGCGGGGACAACAUUCACCAUAGCUGUAAAAGCCCAGAACUUUUCAAUUGAGCCCGAGUCAGUGGUACAAGCCGAGGGAUUGUUGGCAGAGUUUGAGUGCCUGUCUCCUGGAGGAAUAUCUCAUCCUUGGUUUGUGAAUGGCACAGCGUCUACUAGCCCUAACUUUUCAUCUGAAAUCAGAGUAGCUGGAGGCACUUCAGGUCAUCCCUCAGUGCUGACCAUCCCAGCUAGCUCACAGUUCAACAACAGUGUCAUUCAGUGUGCAGCCGUUUCAGUGACUGGUGGAAUCUUAUCAAGGAAUGCAACAUUGAUAGUUGAGCGUGUAUCUAUUGAAGUGGUUAAUGGUAAAACCAACCUUGCCAUCUCUGUGAUCAAUAACUUCACUCUGAAUAAGCUUACCUUCCGUGUUGACAUCUCUCUCACUACUCUGGGCACUAAUGAGAUGGUUACACUUCCUCCUCUAAAUGGUGUACAAAAUCAAGUGCAGUUUAAUUACAGACAAACUGAUAACCACACUGUCUGUGAUAUAUUCACCUUCACUGUGACUCCAAUUAGUGAGUCAGGAAUGGAAGGAAGAUCCAGUGAACCUGUCACUGGGUUCUUUACACGAGUAACAGAUAAUAACAAUGUCGCUCCCCUCAUCAGUCAGGGAGGAAAUGUGUUGAGGAAAAUAGUACAUCUCGGUGGUAUGGUACCCAACUGUACCAACUUCACCUCCUACCAAGUGAACACUGACGUAUUGGCACCCAUCAAUAAGACCAUCAGAGACCCCCAAAUGAUAAAUUUCUCUCUUCCAACUGACCAGAUAAUCAACAUUUCCGUGACACUUACUUCGAUCACGGGGGUGCACCUCAUAUUCAAGGACAUGCUAAUCAGAACAACUGAUGUUCAAAAUUUGAUUGUGGACGUUUGCCCUGAAGGAAACUGUGCAAGAAUUGAGUAUGUUGAAGGUACCCUCUCUCCCGGAGCUCUUGUCUGUGUGAUACGUUUCACUGCUGGAGAGUUGGAUUUUCUAAGCAUGAGACUAGUGCCAAUUCGACGGAGUAUGAGUGAAAAUUUUACCAUCCCGGUGGCUGUUAGUGGAAAUUACAGUGUGAUUGCAUUUGAUCUUGAGAACAACAAUAUGAGUGUACCAAGAAUGCCCAUAUCUGUGGCGGCCGACAAUGAAACUAUGUUUUUGAGCAAUAAAUCUUCCACUGAACCAAAUUCUCCACCUAAUUCUGAGGGCAUUACUGUCGCUAAACUAUCAAAUGGAAGUGCUGAAGUAACCUGCACUACCUCUGGUCAGAGUUGUCUGGCAUUGUUUCUGUCUAAAACCUCUCCAACCUCUCUUGAUCCGAUGGUGAUGAUUGGUUUUAUUGAACCACCUAAUGACAGAACUGUUGUCACUCUUAAUGCUACUUCCGAUAUUUAUGUGGUAGUUUACACUUGGAAUAGUGAUUCUGGCGAGACCAUCUUUGAUGGGAAGGUAUCCUUCAUUAGUCAAUUGGAGAGUAAGCCAAGAGUUAGUCUUAGUUUCAGAAUUGUAUGCGUUCUAUUCUUCCUCUUGCAGGUCCUCCUCCUACACAAUCUCCAGCUCCAUCACCCAUAGUACUAAUAGCAGGUAUCACCAUUGUGGCCAUGGUACUUGUAGUCAUCGUAACUAUCGUUGUAGCUGUGGUUAUUGUGAAGAGAAAACAAAGCUCUUAUACAUUUGAGGUUCCAGAGUCAGAUGGAAGAGUGGAUUGGUCGUCAACAUUUGCAG